rnacentral:rRNA from 1 species
ACGGGGUGCAGCAGGCGCGAAAACUUCACACUGUGCGAAAGCGCGAUGAGGGAAUCCCAAGUGUUUGCUCGUAAGAGUAAACUGUUUCUUUGUUUAAAACGCAGAGAGAGUAAGGGCUGGGUAAGACGGGUGCCAGCCGCCGCGGUAAUACCUGCAGCUCAAGUGGUGAUCAUUAUUAUUGGGCCUAAAACGUCCGUAGCCGGUUUAGUAAAUGCCUGGGUAAAUCGUGUAGCUUAACUAUACGACUUCCGGGUAGACUGCUAAACUUGAGACCGGGAGAGGCUAGAGGUACUCCUGGGGUAGAGGUGAAAUUCUGUAAUCCUAGGGGGACCACCAGUGGCGAAGGCGUCUAGCUAGAACGGGUCUAACGGUGAGGGACGAAGCCCUGGGUCGCAAACCGGAUUAGAUACCCGGGUAGUCCAGGGUGUAAACGCUGCUUGCUUGAUGUUAGUCGGGCUCCGAGCCCGAUUAGUGUCGGAGAGAAGUUGUUAAGCAAGCUGCCUGGGAAGUACGGUCGCAAGGCUGAAACUUAAAGGAAUUGGCGGGGGAGCACAGCAACGGGUGGAGCGUGCGGUUUAAUUGGAUUCAACGCCGGAAAACUCACCGGAGGCGACGGUUACAUGAAGGCCAGGCUGAUGACCUUGCCAGAUUUUCCGAGAGGUGGUGCAUGGCCGCCGUCAGUUCGUACCGUAAGGCGUUCUGUUAAGUCAGACAACGAACGAGACCCUCGUCUUUAAUUGCUACUGGUAAGUUCGCUUAUCAG